rnacentral:rRNA from 1 species
CUCGUGUCGUGAGAUGUUGGGUUAAGUCCCGCAACGAGCGCAACCCUUGUCACUAGUUGCCAUCAUUUGGUUGGGCACUCCAGUGAGACUGCCGGUGGACAAACCGGAGGGAAGGUGGGGAUGACGUCAAGUCCUCAUGGCCCUUAUGGUAGGGCUUCACACGUCAUACAAUGGUCGGUACAGAGGGUUGCCAAGCCGCGAGGUGGAGCCAAUCCCUUAAAGCCGAUCGUAGUCCGGAUCGUAGUCUGCAACUCGACUACGUGAAGUCGGAAUCGCUAGUAAUCGCAGAUCAGCAUGCUGCGGUGAAUACGUUCCCGGGUCUU